UAUACUCUCAGAUCUGUACCUUUUACUUUGGUUAGCUAGAAGUAGUUAACUUCCUAGUUAGUAGAUAAUUGGUUAGUUAGCUACCUAGUGAAUAAAAAUCUGCAUAAAAAAUGGACAGGCGAGGGCACUUGAUCUGGCUCUGACUGAGGGUGAGAGGUUGCUCCCAAAGAAUACGGUGGACACAGAGAAACGGAGCAACUACUUGACUAAUGAAAACUUGGUCUACCCAAGUUUUCAUUAGUCGAGUAGUCACUGAAAAAAGAAACCCUCAAACUGCAUUCGGUAGCUGCGCCUUGUCACCGAGACGAACGUAUCAGUGGAUUGUUGCAACACGGACAUUUUGUCUUGUAAUACAGGAAGUCACUUACCGGCACACUGCUGCUAACUGUACUAGCUGCCAUUAGUUAGUUAGCUAACUUAGCAGUCUUAUCAGCUGGCUCUGCACGGACUGGGAGCCUUGCUCAUCCACCAGGCCCUCCUCCUUACAAUGAAAAGCUUCCCUGGAUUUCUCAAGCUGCUGGCUUCCUCAGUGAGUCCUCAUGAGUGAUGGUUUUAUUAAGCGUCUACUUUGGCACAUGGAUGGAGGGAAAGAAUGGCAAGAUGGAGAGAGAGGUCCAGGCUUGAAGGCAAGACUCUUUUUGCAUCUUUGCCUCUAGAAGAUAGCUGACAGUCUGGCAGGAAACAUGGGAGAGCAAGAGACAGGCCACCCACCCAGGCCAGCCAAAGCCAUGGGCUCUCGACAGACUGUCACUGGCGUCCUGCAGGGUCGAGUGUUGGGUCACGUCAGUGUGGUGCCAAGUGUCCUGGUGUCUCCAUUGCUGUAAAGCCACACUAACGCACACAUAUGACAGUGAUGCUCUCUGCAGAUCUCCUGCAGGAGCUCGCACCAGCCGCAAUCACUUUUGAUGGAUAUCUACUCUGGCUUUGGAGAGCUGUACGUUUUCCAGUGGGUGACUCAUGGGGCUUCUGACGGAUGUCUGUACCAAUUUACUGCUACUGCAACUGCUCCUGCUCUUGUUCCCCACCCCAUGUGUGUGUGUGUGUGUGAGUCUAUGAAUAAGUGUCCUGUGCAUUGGCUGGUUGUGGUUGUAGUUUCCAACUUCUGCUUAUGGACUUUCCACAAAGUGAGAGUGGGGAAACCAGAGUUCUUUAAUAACACUGUAUACACACACAAGCAAACACAAAAACUGAAACACACACUGCAUAAAAAUGACUCAGUCAGGUUCUCCAGGUGACUCACUCCCAUCUUCUCCUGUUGUCAGACAUGAUGAUCACUUAAAUAAUUAAUCUAAUCAAAGAUAAAUGUGCUCUGAGAAGCAUGUCAUCAUGUGACACGCCCUGUGGUACAGACAAAAGUGCAUGCCAUUCUUUUGUAAAGAUUACAUAACUUCAUUGUUGAUCUGAGCAGACCAAUGUAUGGCGAUAACAAGACAUUUACUGUUGAAUCACCAGACAAAGCUGUGGUUCUGCAGGUCACCCAGUUCAGGUGUCAUAUGGGACUUGAACUUUUGAACUUGCAGAGCCCUGGAGUGAUAGAUUCUUUACCUGCAACACCAUACCCGGAAAAGCUUACUUUGAUUGCUUCAUUCAUUUAAUAGCUUGACAAACAGAGCACCUCACAAGCUAUUUCAGCUCCUUGAUAUCCCCAGCCAAGACAUCAAAGGAUCAGACAUUUACCAAUAAUGUGGGUUAUAUAUUUCCAAGACAAACAUGAAGAUAAAGUGUGAACUGUGAUAUUACGUGUGGUAUACAGGAAAUGGGUAAACUUAACACAGUGAUAAUGUGAUAUCAAUGAAUCCCAUCCUGCCAAAGUUAACACUGGACCAGCAGGAUUUGUCUGUGAAAAAUGACAGCUGCCUCUCUUCUGCUUGUGCUAGUUGCAGCUAUGUGUAUGUGUGCAUGUGUGGUUGUGUGUGUAAUGGGUAUGAGUAUGUCCUCUACAAUAGGGAUUCCAAACCAGGGCUACUUGUACCCAAUGGGGUACGUGGAAAGAUUGAAAAGCUCAACUAAUUUGAAAAAAUUUAAAUUACAAUUUGAUUUAAAAAAUAUGUCCACAUAUUGAGCCAUCUGUAACAGCUGAAUACUACGUAAUAUUGCAGAAAAGUCUAAACUAAUGGUUAAAAAGAUAGGUAACAGUAAUGGUUAAACUGUUAAGAGUUGGCUAAAAUUAAUAGAAAAAUGGCUAAAACUGAUAUCUAAAAGUAUUGUAUAAACAGUUGAAAGAGCUAACUAAAAUGAUUAAUGACUAAACAAUUUAAAGCUAGCUAAAUAGCACAUACACUCAAGCUUAACCAAGCUUAAGUGGAGAGGUAGCACUCUAAAGCCUUAGUUUAUGGUCAUUGCUGGCACACACACACACACACACUUGUAAACUGAAGGGGAAAUUCCCUUCACUGCAAGUAAAACAGCAUUUCUUUAGAAACUACAGGAACUAAAACACUAAAGGGAUCACAUAUCUUUGUGCUGAAGUAGUUCUUUGGCUAAAGGGACUUAUUUCAACCUUAAUUACUUUGGUAGGCCCCAGUCUAAUCUAAUCCAAUCCAGUCUGGCUGAGGAAGGGGUGAAUAGCCUCAUCAAGUAAAAAAAAAAAGAAGAUAUAGUUCAGAUCCCCGAAGACGACAUGGCUGUAAUGCAUCAACCAUAUUUAAGAACUGCGUGACUAAUCGCUGACUGCUUCAAAGCAAUCAGAAACUCUUGCUCAAGCCUGUGGCAAGCCAGGAGGACAUCCCACCUGGGAAUCAUUCAGAGAUCAUGGAAAUACAGCUCAUCCUUUUAAACACAGCAUAUUUUUUACAUCCCGCCUUUAUAUCUGUCAUCUGCUAUUAAAUAGCAUAAAGAGAAUGAGUACAAUCUUUUGGCUUUGACGCAUGUGUGAGUGUCCUGACCACCCAGCUCCCAGGUUUCCCAGUUCAUUCUCUCCAGAAAAGACAUGCCAAUUGCCAGUUGGCUGUUACUGCUGACCCAGGCAUGAAGCCUUUUAUCAAGGAUCAUCCCUGGGUGGAAGGACUUACUUCUAUUCACUCUGUUUUCAUCCCUCCCAUCCUCAUCUGUAAGCAAAGGAGCCUAACACACCACUGUGACUCCUGUCUUCAUCCCAGGCUAUUCUGGGCUGAGGUUACCCAGGACACCAUGUGGCUUCACCCAAAUUUAGCUGCCCACAGUAUGCCUGAGUUAAAUCAUCUGUGUGUGUUAUGCAAAUAAUAAAUAUUCAUUAAUGGUUCUU